AGAGUUUGAUCCUGGCUCAGGAUGAACGCUGGCGGCGUGCCUAACACAUGCAAGUCGAACGAUGAAACCGCCCUCGGGCGGACAUGAAGUGGCGAACGGGUGAGUAACACGUGACCAACCUGCCCCUUGCUCCGGGACAACCUUGGGAAACCGAGGCUAAUACCGGAUACUCCUCGCCCCCCUCCUGGGGGGCCCGGGAAAGCCCAGACGGCAAGGGAUGGGGUCGCGGCCCAUUAGGUAGUAGGCGGGGUAACGGCCCACCUAGCCCGCGAUGGGUAGCCGGGUUGAGAGACCGACCGGCCACAUUGGGACUGAGAUACGGCCCAGACUCCUACGGGAGGCAGCAGUGGGGAAUUUUGCGCAAUGGGGGCAACCCUGACGCAGCAACGCCGCGUGCGGGACGACGGCCUUCGGGUUGUAAACCGCUUUCAGCAGGGAAGAAAUUCGACGGUACCUGCAGAAGAAGCUCCGGCUAACUACGUGCCAGCAGCCGCGGUAAUACGUAGGGAGCGAGCGUUAUCCGGAUUCAUUGGGCGUAAAGAGCGCGUAGGCGGCCUCUCAAGCGGGAUCUCUAAUCCGAGGGCUCAACCCCCGGCCGGAUCCCGAACUGGGAGGCUCGAGUUCGGUAGAGGCAGGCGGAAUUCCCGGUGUAGCGGUGGAAUGCGCAGAUAUCGGGAAGAACACCGAUGGCGAAGGCAGCCUGCUGGGCCGCAACUGACGCUGAGGCGCGAAAGCUAGGGGAGCGAACAGGAUUAGAUACCCUGGUAGUCCUAGCCGUAAACGAUGGAUACUAGGUGUGGGGGGCUCCGCCCUCCGUGCCGCAGCCAACGCAUUAAGUAUCCCGCCUGGGGAGUACGGCCGCAAGGCUAAAACUCAAAGGAAUUGACGGGGGCCCGCACAAGCAGCGGAGCAUGU
rnacentral:rRNA from 1 species